rnacentral:rRNA from 1 species
UACGUAGGGGGCAAGCGUUGUCCGGAUUUAUUGGGCGUAAAGAGCGUGUAGGCGGCCUGGAAGGUCCGUUGUGAAAACUCGAGGCUCAACCUCGAGACGCCGAUGGAAACCACCUGGCUAGAGUCCGGAAGAGGAGAGUGGAAUUCCGAGUGUAGAGGUGAAAUUCGUAGAUAUUCGGAAGAACACCAGUGGCGAAGGCGACUUACUGGACACAUAUUGACGCUGAGGUGCGAAAGCGUGGGGAGCAAACAGG